rnacentral:rRNA from 1 species
GUGGGGAAUCUUAGACAAUGGGGGAAACCCUGAUCUAGCCAUGCCGCGUGAGCGAUGAAGGCCUUAGGGUUGUAAAGCUCUUUCAGCGGGGAAGAUAAUGACGGUACCAGCAGAAGAAGCCCCGGCUAACUCCGUGCCAGCAGCCGCGGUAAUACGGAGGGGGCUAGCGUUGUUCGGAAUUACUGGGCGUAAAGCGCGCGUAGGCGGACCAGAAAGUUGGAGGUGAAAUCCCAGGGCUCAACCUAGUAACUGCCUUCAAAACUCCUGGUCUGGAGUUCGAGAGAGGUGAGUGGAAUUCCGAGUGUAGAGGUGAAAUUCGUAGAUAUUCGGAGGAACACCAGUGGCGAAGGCGGCUCACUGGCUCGAUACUGACGCUGAGGUGCGAAAGCGUGGGGAGCAAACAGGAUUAGAAACCCUGGUAGUCC